UUGACCUCAAAUCAGGUAGGACUACCCGCUGAACUUAAGCAUAUCAAUAAGCGGAGGAAAAGAAACUAACAAGGAUUCCCCUAGUAACUGCGAGUGAAGCGGGAAGAGCUCAAAUUUGAAAUCUGGCGGCUCUUUGACCGUCCGAGUUGUAAUCUAGAGAAGUGCUACCCGUGCUGGACUGUGUACAAGUCUCCUGGAAUGGGGCAUCGUAGAGGGUGAGAAUCCCGUCUUUGACACGGACUGCCAGUGCGCCCUGGGUGUGCUCUCGAAGAGUCGAGUUGUUUGGGAAUGCAGCUCAAAAUGGGUGGUAAAUGCCAUCUAAAGCUAAAUAUUGGCGAGAGACCGAUAGCGAACAAGUACCGUGAGGGAAAGAUGAAAAGAACUUUGGAAAGAGAGUUAAACAGUACGUGAAAUUGCUGAAAGGGAAACGCUUGGAGUCAGUCGCGUUGGCCAGAAAUCAGCCUUGCUCCUGCUUGGUGUACUUUCUGGUCUUUUACGGGUCAGCAUCAAUCUUGACCGCUGGACAAAGUCUUUGGGAAUGUGGCAUCUUUUGGAUGUGUUAUAGCCCAGGGUCGCAUACGGCGGCUGGGAUUGAGGAACUCAGCACGCCCGCAAGGGAUGGGUCCUUGGACCACAAAUUUUUUUCGUGCUUAGGAUGCUGGCAUAAUGGCUUCAAUCGACCCGUC
rnacentral:rRNA from 1 species